rnacentral:tRNA from 1 species
GGAAUUAUAGCUCAAAUGGUAGAGCACUGUACUGCCAAUGCAGAGGUCAGGAUUCAAAUUCCCCUUCACUCUU